rnacentral:rRNA from 1 species
CCCUUAGAUGUUCUGGGCCGCACGCGCGCUACACUGAUGCAUUCAACGAGUCUAAAACCUGGUCUGAUAGGGCUGGGUAAUCUUUUGAAUGUGCAUCGUGAUUGGGAUAGAUGAUUGCAAUUCUUCAUCCUCAACGAGGAAUGCCUAGUAAACGCAAGUCAUCAGCUUGCAUUGAUUACGUCCCUGCCCUUUGUACACACCGCCCGUCGCUCCUACCGAUUGAAUGUUCCGAUGAAUACCAUGGACUGAGAGUAUGAAUGGGUUCGCCUAUUUCUGCUUCUCGGGAAGUGGAGUAAAUCUUAACAUUUAGAGGAAGGAGAAGUCGUAACA